UACGGAGGAUCCAAGCGUUAUCCGGAAUUACUGGGCGUAAAGAGUUGCGUAGGUGGCAUUGUAAGUCUGUAGUGAAAGCGUGGGGCUCAACCCCAUACACAUUAUGGAAACUGCAAAGCUAGAGGACAAGAGAGGUUAUUGGAAUUCCUAGUGUAGGAGUGAAAUCCGUAGAUAUUAGGAGGAACACCGUUGGCGUAGGCAGAUAACUGGCUUGUUCCUGACACUAAGGCGCGAAAGCGUGGGGAGCAAACAGG
rnacentral:rRNA from 1 species